UUAUUUUUUUAUUGCUUCUUAACUAACAGUUACAAUUACCACCAUGUGUAAAAUAAGAUCAGUUUCAGGAUGACUUCAAGGCCCAAGUUUAUAACAUUGGCAGGCUACAGGAGGUGGGAUGAGUCCUGCCAAAGCUAACAGCUAAUUUGGGGAAGUCUACUCGGACAACUUUGGUAAAAUCAGCUAAACUCUCCUUAGUCUUUGUUUGCAGAAGUAGCAGCAGCUAGCUAACACCUUCUGAUUGCUCACCAUGUGCCCUUGACUGAGUUAAAUGUGUUAUAUGCAGACAACUGCGGUUGAAACAAGCUGCUACUCAUUAGCAGGAUGACUUAACCAUAAAAAUCUUCAAUUUUCUCUGGAAAAUGGGGAUAAUAAGCUCAUAUAAUCUCCUAGGGUUGCUGGGAGAAUUAAAUCAGAAGCUAUGAUAAUAAGGCAAACAGAUGCUUCUGGAGUGUAGCAGAUUGUAUUUCUGAAAAUGGCCACAAGAAUGUGCUCUCCUAGAACCUUGCCCAUGCCCCCAUCAAGAGGUGGAUGGUUCUUUGUGACAGCCACACUGAAUAGGAUGUGGUGGAGGUGGUACUGUGUGACUGGCUAAUAAAAGGUAAUAUGGCCUCUGUCUCUCUCUCGUUCUGUACUAUAAGAGUUCUGAACCAUCCUGUGACAAGUCUAGUUACCCUAAAGCUGUCAUGCAGGAGAGACCAUGUGGAGAGAAGGAGAGUUAGAGAGAGGAGGAGCCCCUGCUGUUUGAGUAUUCUCAGCCCAGACACCAGACAUGAGUGAGGAAGCAUUCAGGAAAAGACAGAAGCUGAUUGAGGUCCCAGCUUGGUAACAGUUUGAAGAGUUGCAGGACUGGCUGGAUGAGUACUGGCUGCAGCAAAUCAGGCUGCCAGGAUUCUUUAUGGCUGUUUCUGCUUCCACUACAGCUGAGUCAGAAAGGUCGCUGCCCCGUGGUGGCACUAGACGCAGUGGACCUGGCAAGCAAAUGUUUCCGCUAUUAGCUCUCAGCAACAGAGACUCAUUUAUGGUCACCUUGGAAAUCUGGGCUUAUCGAUCUACAGCCCAAGUCUGCUGAGAAGCUGGAGCUUACUAAAGGGGAAACCUGAGAGCUGUUCAAGCCCCAAAUAUUUUCCACUUCUGCGUCACCUCUGCUGUCUGUUAGCAGAGUGGAGGAGAAAAUACACAGCACAAACAACGUGAAAAAAUAGUUACUCUAUUCAUUAAAAGCUGUAACUUCCAGAUUGGACUUGAGAAGCAAUUAAGCAACAGAGGAACCUCAUCUACUAUCUGUAUUCAGG
rnacentral:lncRNA from 10 species